GGUCUUUCAAGCUAACUGCUGCUCUCCGGCAGGUGUUCAGCGGGAUCACGUUGACGAAGUUUGGAGGUAUCCUGAUUCUGGCACUUUCCAAGUCACAGAUCUUCCAGGUCUUCUAUUUCCGGAUGUAUCUGGCUAUCGUGCUGCUCGGAGCAGCGCACGGACUCAUAUUCCUGCCCGUGCUGCUGAGCUACAUAGGUCCUUCAGUGAAUAAGGCAAAGGUGGCCGCUGCUAACAGGCGCUAUGCCGGCACAGAGCGGGAGCACCUCCUCAACUACUAGUAAGCUUUUUGAGACGGCGGACUAAUGACUUGUCUGUAGGGAACUGUGUGGGUGUUUGUGUGAUUACUGACACACUCACUGCUAUGCACCAGUUAACUCAGGAAUUUACUCAGGAAUAGGAGCGCCAGGGGCCUUGUCCAAGCACGUAAUUAUUAAAUUCCUCCGCACACUUUGGACUUGCAGGUCACCACCAUUUUUCCUACUCGCGUGCUACAGGACAAGCCUGAGGGAAGUAAUGAACCAUGACAUCAGUUUACAGAUGCACCUUCAGUCGUAUGCUUAUUAACAAUAAAUCUAUUUUAAUAUUUUGAUUUGGGCACGGGAGAGACACACACACACAAAGGGGUCAGUCUUUUUUCCUGUGUAUUACAUUUGUAUCACACAACAUUUUUUUGUUUGUCUUUGUAUAUUUACUAAUAAGGUACUUUUCUACAGUUACUCACAUAAUGAAACAUUUGACUGCAGCAGAGCUAAUUGAUAAAACUGACAAUCGCAUCGACCCUGUUCAUAGCUGUUUGGUUUUUGUUGUUGUUCUGUUUUUUUUUGUUUUGUUUUUUUUAAGCUCUUCAUCUAAGCAGUUGGAAUGUAGAGCAAAAAAUAAUAAUAAUAAUAAUACAUGCAAAAAUAACCUGUUGGUCUGAAGCUUUAGUGAUUUGCGUCUCAUGGUUUUUGAGUGUCCUUUUGGUCUUGUGUGUGUAAAAACCAUUUCUCACGUUUUUUUUUUUUUUUCUCCAUUUUAUUUCUACUUUUUUUUGCUGUGCUUCAUGUAUCUGCACCAUCCUUUUGAAAUAAUUUGAUUGUAUUGGUGGGUUUUUACAAUGGACGUAUUAGUGCCACCGACAAUUUCCACUGAAUUGUUACUAAAUAAAAUGUUAAACUGAAGUUUAUAAAUAAUUACAAGUUUUAAGUAACACGCAGUAACUAAUUUAAAACAUUUUCAUUUGUCUUCUAAUGUAUGUCAAAAUAAAUAAUGUAGUUUGACACCUGGACAACAGCACACAGCAGUCUUGUGUUUUAUGUUCCUUGCUGUAACAGUUUUUUUUUUUUUUUAUAUAUAUAUUAUUUUGCUUGGGGUGGGGGGGGGUACUCUGAAUCCUGGAAAUCGUCUGGGGAUUCCCCAAAACUUUUAAACACAACUUUGAUAAAUACUUGAUUUAGAAUUGUUCCCACAUAAACGAUAUUAAGCUACAACAAGAAGAACAUGGUAAUUAAAAUCUGGAGGCUACAAUUUUCUUAAAUAAAUUUUUAGGUCCUUUUAAAUUUUAUUGCAAACAUGAAAGUCAGGCUUUAAAAAUAUGUUUUUAAAGAUCCCGCUGGGUCCGCCUGCCUACCUUCAUAACCCACCAGCGCCCACACUUUGGGAACAGCUUAAAAAAAACAAAAAAACAAAUCACAUUUUACUAGUUUGUGCGUGUGUGAGUGUCACUACAGGUACUUUCUCUUCUGUGCAAUCAAUAUGUCUGUUAAUUCACUUUUUUCUCCACAAAUGCACAACACCUCCCAUUAUUU